CACAGCUUGCAAGCAAGCAAGCUCCACUAGCAGAACAGAACUGUUGGGUGUGGCUGAGGGGAAUCUAGAACACAGGCAGAGGAGGGAGAGUAUAAAUAUCAACUAACGCUCAGCACCAAAUGCAGAAGUGGUGAACGCUGCUUGGUCUACCAUCCUCUUGCUAUGUGGCAUUGGUCAGAAUUUAGUCAUGUGGACAUACCAAACUGCAAAUGAGGCUGGGAAAUGAAUUGUAGCUACAUGCCCAGGAGGAAGGAGACUUGGCCUGAAUUAUUUCUUGCAGAAGAUCCAAAAACCUUCUGUUGGGGUCUGAAUUGGGACUCCUUUCCUGUAGCAUCUUUCUGGUGACCACUGAAGGGACUAUAGUGCAGAAAACCCCCACCCAAAGGCUAACUUUCGAUGCAGAACCCAUGGAAACAGAAGGGAAACUAAAUGUUAGAAUCUGAUCAUGUGAAGCUUUGGUCACCAAAGAAAUGAAUCAUAAUGCUAAUAAUGAGUUCCUGACUCAACCCUGAGGAUCUACCAAAAUUUUCCUCCUUUGUUCACCAGCUGAUGUUUACUUUUGAGAAAUGUGAGUCACAAAAAGUAAAACAACGUACUCAAGGUCACACCGCUGAGAAGUGUGUUAGGUGAGACAUCUUGAAGCUCUUCCUUCUCAUGCUGGAAAGGCUGUCAGAAAGUUCAAGUCCUCCUCUUGACAUAGUACAUGCCUAUUUGCUCAUUGGGAUAGGCUAACCUUUUCAAGCAAUGUGCGGCACCCCUUAGCUUCAAUAAAGUGUUCAAUGUAAGAAGAA
rnacentral:lncRNA from 1 species